CAGGGAGUUGGAAUAGGAGCUUGCUCCGUCCACUCCACGCAUUGACCUGGUAUUGCAGUAUCUCCAGGAACGGUGCACCCUCU
rnacentral:snRNA from 1 species